rnacentral:tRNA from 2 species
UGUGGGGUAUAGCAGUGGCAGCUAACGAGCCUCAUAAGCUCGAGGUCGGUGGUUCGAAUCCAUCCCCCGCAACCG